rnacentral:lncRNA from 1 species
AUUUAACUACAUCUUUAUUGGAUUGUGCAUAUUCCAUUGUAUAAUGAUCUAUAUUGGGUACUCUAUAAUGUAGUAUUUCUUCUGUCCUCUCCCAUGCUUAAAAAAGUAUAUUUAUACAUAUAUUUAUAUAUAUUUAUAGUAUGGCAAAGCUCCCCCCAACCUGAAGCUAUCAGUCUAAAAGAGCUUUGAUUUUUUUUCUUUUUGGAAAGGGAAGAAGAGGGGAGGCAAUCCCAUUGAAAGAUAAAAUGUGCAAUUUUCUUUUUAAAGCAGUAAACAUGAAUGUAUUUACAGCACUCAGCACAAGUUUGCUGCACAGACAAAUCAUCAUUGCAAUGACACUUUUUCUUACAUUUGCAUCCCCCAUGUUAUACAGAACAUCACCAGCAGCUGCUAACAGUUAGUGUAAGCCAUAAACCAAACUGCUGCUCCAGUUAAUUUUGGGUCCACUAGAAAGGAGAGCUAAGAUCUGCAAUUACAACUUGUGACAAAGCAUUUAGUUUUCGUUUUAGAAGUAGAAGCGUUAUAGUGCUGCACCAAAUCAGCAGCAGGGAGCCUUGGGCACAGGUUCGUUUGCUAAACUGCCCUUUGUCCCUGCCCAGCAGGUGGGUACCCACUCGCCAGUGCUAAUUAAAGGCAAGAGAUGCACAACAGCCAACAGUGGCAUCCCUGUUCUCUUGCCAAACAGCUGCUGCAGAACAGCAGCUUUUCAGCUCCUGACAGAGGCUGGUGCAAGCACAUCUUGAGUACCUGGAAUUUAGCUUUGACUGCAUCUUUGGCAAGGUGGGAGGAAACUAUUUUCCACUGUAGAGAACAGGUGGUUCAAUUCCCGAGUCUCCUAAAAGACAAGUCACCUCUGAGCAUUUAAAUGGGGGGGGGGGGUAUGCAUUCCAAAAUCUGUUACCAAACCUCCUCCCUCACUAAGUCCCUGUCACGAGGGAUGGUGCAUAUAGCACUAGUUCCUGUUCCUCUAACUUCUCUAGAUCUCUUCACCACAGCUACACACUUCUGAUUGAUGACCAGGGAGCUCUUGCACAGAGUCCUUGCCCUGUUGAGUGCGUGCCUCGGAGCACCAAACAGCCAUCAGUGCAAAUGAGUUACUUUGCAUUGUGAGGGAUAUGCAUGUGUUGUCACCGCAUUUGCAGUUUAAUGUUUUAAACUUUUCAGGAUUAGACAGUCUGUGACUCACUGGAUCACAGAGAUCAGAGUGCACUGACCCCUGCAACAUAACACUGGUUGUGUCAGUCUUCACAGGCAUUUUCUUAAUCGAAGAAAAAGAAAUCAGAAAGAAAAAUUACUCAACUUUAGACAAACUUAUAAUUCCAAAAUAUAAGCUUAAACCCCACCAGCACAUUACAGAAAUGUCUAAGAGAAACUAACCCUUGUAGUGUUAAAUCCUCUCUGCUUUGGAGUCUGUCCUGAUUGUGUGAGGGAACGCAAAGCCAGGAGCCACAAGUGGGCUUUGGGAAAACCUCUCCCUCAAAGCCGAUUCCCCUCACCUCCAAAUGAGGAGUGCUGUUUGAGCAAGUACAGAACCUACACCUGAACAAUGUAAAAAGGAAGAAACAAAACAAACUCACAUGUUCUGGCCGCAUCAUCACUACCUUCUGUCAGGAAUUUUUACUGCUUUCCUGGAGUGCAGCUGAUUUCAACAUGAUUCUGCAUUUGAAGUAAUACUCACAGUAAGACCCACUUAUAAUUUUAUUUUGACUAAGAAACAUUUACCUGCAAUGAUACCGCUGAAGUAAAACAGUUUAGUUCUAUGCAGUAUUCUGUAACAACCAGAUUUCUCUUUUGCCCUUCUGUUGCUGAAAUGGCACUUUUGGUUCAUUUAACUGUGGAAAAAGUAAUUUUAACUGGGAGGAAAACUAGCCACACUAUCUCUGAGCUGAGUUAUCUGGUUGCCUAAGGGCACAGAAAGAAGAAAUUAGAAAACAUCUCAAUGUGCUAGUCCAGAACAGUAAACCUUAAAACGCACUUGUUGAAAAAAAUGCUCCCUCUCUCCCAUCAGACCUGAAGCCAAAGUGAUCCAGGUACCUUUGCUUUGGUUCCCUGAUGUGUCAGUCAGCCACUGUUGCCCUGCAGGAAACUGUUCAGGAGAGGAGCUCUUUGGCUUUGAGGUCAUGCACCAAGUUGAGCAAGCAGUGGUGGUUUGCCACAGGAGCAAAGCAGGACCUUUCCUCUUCCACAGAAAAUAGCAGAUUAUUUUAUUGUGAGACUUGAGCUUAAUCUCCCCCCCCCAGCCACAGGUUUUGAAAGACUAAACAGAACCCCGGCACAUCCACCUCAAACACGUUACCUGGGUUUGUUUAGAACCAGAGUUCUUUGGGGUUUUUUAAAUAAUUUCUCCUAUAAGCUUAGUGCUGCUGUAUCAGCCGUGUUUUCCCUUCCAAAGCAUCUCCCCGAGACCUGAAUUACAGUGAAAGUGUCUGAGAAGACUGGCUCCCUGCUUUGUGCACCUGCGCUGCAGGCACAGAAGCCUGCCUGAACAGGAGGGACCCUGCUGUUCACAGAGAUGGACAAUACUGCUGCAUGGCAGAGAGGAAAUGAGCACCAAAUCUGUUCCAGAUUAAUGAACACAGCUGUAUGCUCUCAGCUGCCCCUGCAGGAGCAGGGCUUUCCCCAACACCCCGGCCUUAACAAGUGUCAAAGGCCAUAUGCUUCAUCAUGUAACACAACAACAGCUGUACCCCCUCAGUAUUUUAGGAUCAAAGCAUCUGCUACCUUUGUGUCCAGAGUAUGAAAGCUCAGCUCUCACAUGCUCAUUUUAACAGUGCCAAAAAGAAGCAGGAAGCUUCUUGCUGUGUGAGGUCUGGCCCCUCUGUUUUCUGAUUUAAAUAAAUAUAACGGUGCAAUUAUGAGACCAGUGCACACAGGGGAAAAUAACUUACUUGCAAAUAAGGCAUAAAUAUUUACUGUCACAAAAGCAGUAAAUACACUGGAAACGCAAGUUACAAUGAGGGGUCUCAUAAGCUGAAAAGGCAGCCAGGUUGUGAAAAUUCCAGUGCUCAGCUGAGAGCACUGUAUUUCCAUAUGACUACUGGCUU